GAUGAACGCUGGCGGCGUGCCUAAUACAUGCAAGUCGAGCGAACAGACGAGGAGCUUGCUCCUCUGACGUUAGCGGCGGACGGUGAGUAACACGUGGUUAACCUACCUAUAAGACUUGGUUAACUUCGGUAAACCGGAGCUAAUACCGGAUAAUAUAUUUAACCUCAUGGUUCAAUAGUUAAAGACGGUUUUGCUGUCACUUAUAGAUGGAUCCGCGCCGCAUUUGCUAGUUGGUAAGGUAACGGCUUACCAAGGCGACGAUGCGUAGCCGACCUGAGUGGGUGAAAGGCAACACAGGAGCGGAGAAACGGAAAAGAGACGUAAGGGAGGCAGCAGUAGGGAAACUGCCGAAAAGGGCGAAAGACUGACGGAGAAACGCCGCGUGAGGGAUGAAGGGCUACGGAUCGUAAAACUCUGUUAUUAGGGAAGAAAAAAUGUGUAAGUAACUAUGAACGUGUUGAGGGUACCAAAACAGAAAGCCACGGCUAACUACGU
rnacentral:rRNA from 1 species